rnacentral:rRNA from 1 species
CAGUCGCCGCGUAAUACGGAGGGAGCUAGCGUUGUUCGGAAUUACUGGGCGUAAAGCGCGCGUAGGCGGUUACUCAAGUCAGAGGUGAAAGCCCGGGGCUCAACCCCGGAACUGCCUUUGAAACUAGGUGACUAGAAUCUUGGAGAGGUCAGUGGAAUUCCGAGUGUAGAGGUGAAAUUCGUAGAUAUUCGGAAGAACACCAGUGGCGAAGGCGACUGACUGGACAAGUAUUGACGCUGAGGUGCGAAAGCGUGGGGAGCAAACAGGAUUAGAUACCCGCGUAGUCCCUGUCUCUUAUACA